CCCUUAGAUGUUCUGGGCCGCACGCGCGCUACACUGAUGAAUGCAACGAGCUCUACCCUUGACCGAAAGGCCCGGGUAAACUUGUGAAACUUCAUCGUGAUGGGGAUAGAUUAUUGCAAUUAUUAAUCUUCAACGAGGAAUUCCUAGUAAGCGCGAGUCAUCAGCUCGCGUUGAUUACGUCCCUGCCCUUUGUACACACCGCCCGUCGCUCCUACCGAUUGAAUGGCCCGGUGAAAUCUUCGGAUUGCUGACCAAGAUCCAGCAAUGGAGCUUGGUUGCGAGAAGUUGAUUAAACCUUAUUAUUUAGAGGAAGGAGAAGUCGUAACA
rnacentral:rRNA from 1 species